GAGGAAUAUUGGUCAAUGGACGAGAGUCUGAACCAGCCAAGUAGCGUGCAGGAUGACGGCCCUAUGGGUUGUAAACUGCUUUUAUAAGGGAAUAAAGUGAGUCUCGUGAGACUUUUUGCAUGUACCUUAUGAAUAAGGACCGGCUAAUUCCGUGCCAGCAGCCGCGGUAAUACGGAAGGUCCGGGCGUUAUCCGGAUUUAUUGGGUUUAAAGGGAGCGUAGGCCGGAGAUUAAGCGUGUUGUGAAAUGUAGACGCUCAACGUCUGCACUGCAGCGCGAACUGGUUUCCUUGAGUACGCACAAAGUGGGCGGAAUUCGUGGUGUAGCGGUGAAAUGCUUAGAUAUCACGAAGAACUCCGAUUGCGAAGGCAGCUCACUGGAGCGCAACUGACGCUGAAGCUCGAAAGUGCGGGUAUCGAAC
rnacentral:rRNA from 1 species